rnacentral:rRNA from 1 species
UGUUAGCGGCGGACGGGUGAGUAACACGUGGGUAACCUGCCUGUAAGACUGGGAUAACUCCGGGAAACCGGAGCUAAUACCGGAUAGUUCCUUGAACCGCAUGGUUCAAGGAUGAAAGACGGUUUCGGCUGUCACUUACAGAUGGACCCGCGGCGCAUUAGCUAGUUGGUGAGGUAACGGCUCACCAAGGCGACGAUGCGUAGCCGACCUGAGAGGGUGAUCGGCCACACUGGGACUGAGACACGGCCCAGACUCCUACGGGAGGCAGCAGUAGGGAAUCUUCCGCAAUGGACGAAAGUCUGACGGAGCAACGCCGCGUGAGUGAUGAAGGUUUUCGGAUCGUAAAGCUCUGUUGUUAGGGAAGAACAAGUGCAAGAGUAACUGCUUGCACCUUGACGGUACCUAACCAGAAAGCCACGGCUAACUACGUGCCAGCAGCCGCGGUAAUACGUAGGUGGCAAGCGUUGUCCGGAAUUAUUGGGCGUAAAGGGCUCGCAGGCGGUUUCUUAAGUCUGAUGUGAAAGCCCCCGGCUCAACCGGGGAGGGUCAUUGGAAACUGGGAAACUUGAGUGCAGAAGAGGAGAGUGGAAUUCCACGUGUAGCGGUGAAAUGCGUAGAGAUGUGGAGGAACACCAGUGGCGAAGGCGACUCUCUGGUCUGU